rnacentral:rRNA from 1 species
GGCAGGCUUAACACAUGCAAGUCGAACGCCCCGCAGGGAGUGGCAGACGGGUGAGUAACGCGUGGGAAUCUACCGUGCCCUGCGGAAUAGCUCCGGGAAACUGGAAUUAAUACCGCAUACGNCCUACGGGGGAAAGAUUUAUCGGGGUAUGAUGAGCCCGCGUUGGAUUAGCUAGUUGGUGGGGUAAAGGCCUACCAAGGCGACGAUCCAUAGCUGGUCUGAGAGGAUGAUCAGCCACAUUGGGACUGAGACACGGCCCAAACUCCUACGGGAGGCAGCAGUGGGGAAUAUUGGACAAUGGGCGCAAGCCUGAUCCANCCAUGCCGCGUGAGUGAUGAAGGCCUUAGGGUUGUAAAGCUCUUUCACCGGAGAAGAUA